rnacentral:rRNA from 1 species
UACGUAGGGUGCGAGCGUUAAUCGGAAUUACUGGGCGUAAAGCGUGCGCAGGCGGUUUUGUAAGCCAGAUGUGAAAGCCCCGGGCUUAACCUGGGAAUGGCAUUUGGGACUGCAAGGCUUGAGUGCGGCAGAGGAGACUGGAAUUCCUGGUGUAGCAGUGAAAUGCGUAGAUAUCAGGAGGAAUACCGAUGGCGAAGGCAGGUCUCUGGGCUGACACUGACGCUCAUGCACGAAAGCGUGGGGAGCGAACAGG